rnacentral:lncRNA from 1 species
CGACGACGACCCACUAAUGAAGUGCUAAUACAGUGGGCAAACCUACCAAUAGAAGAUGCCACUUGGGAGAACUAUGACGACAUGAAGAUCAAAUUUCCAGAAUUUAUGAAUUAUCAACCUCGAGGACAAGGCUGAUUUGAAGAGGGCGGGUCUGUUAGGACUCUAGCUUGGAAAGUCCUAAUUGAGAGGGACAUUCAUGUAAAACUGUUAGGACUCUAGCUAAGAGAGUCCUAAUUGAGAGGGACAUUCUAUUAGGACUCUAGCUAGGAGAGUCCUAAUUGAGAGGGGCAUUCAUGUAGGAGGUUUUUUCUUAGAGAAGAAUUAGGAGUUGUAAGGGAAUAGGAGUCUUGAGUAGGAG